rnacentral:rRNA from 1 species
GAUAACCUCGGGAAACUGGGUAUAAUACCCGAUAGGUCUCGAUUGCUGGAAUGCAUCGAGAUUUAAAGCUCCGGCGCCUAAGGAUGGGUCUGCGGCCUAUCAGGUAGUAGUGGGUGUAGCGUACCUACUAGCCUACGACGGGUACGGGUUGUGAGAGCAAGAGCCCGGAGAUGGAUUCUGAGACACGAAUCCAGGCCCUACGGGGUGCAGCAGGCGCGAAAACUUUACAAUGCUGGCAACAGCGAUAAGGGAACCUCGAGUGCCAGGUUACAAAUCUGGCUGUCGAGAUGCCUAAAAAGCAUUUCAUAGCAAGGGCCGGGCAAGACCGGUGCCAGCCGCCGCGGUAACACCGGCGGCUCGAGUGGUAACCGUUAUUAUUGGGUCUAAAGGGUCUGUAGCCGGCCGGAUAAGUCUCUUGAGAAAUCUGGCAGCUUAACUGUCAGGCUUUCAGGAGAUACUGUCUGGCUCGAGGCCGGGAGAGGUGAGAGGUACUUCAGGGGUAGGGGUGAAAUCUUGUAAUCCUUGAAGGACCACCAGUGGCGAAGGCGUCUCACCAGAACGGACCUGACGGCAAGGGACGAAAGCUAGGGGCACGAACCGGAUUAGAUACCCGGGUAGUCCUAGCCGUAAACGAUACUCGCUAGGUGUCGGCCACGGUGCGACCGUUGUCGGUGCCGUCGGGAAGCCGUGAAGCGAGCCACCUGGGAAGUACGGCCGCAAGGCUGAAACUUAAAGGAAUUGGCGGGGGAGCACCACAACGGGUGGAGCUUGCGGUUUAAUUGGAUUCAACGCCGGAAAUCUUACCGGGACCGACAGCAAUAUGAAGGCCAGGCUGAAGACUUUGCCGGAUUAGCUGAGACGUGGUGCAU